GUGAGGAAUAUUGGUCAAUGGACGGAAGUCUGAACCAGCCAUGCCGCGUGAAGGAUGAAGGCGUUCUGCGUUGUAAACUUCUUUUAUCAGAGAAGAAACCACUGAUUUCUAUUAGUGUUGACGGUAUCUGAUGAAUAAGCACCGGCUAACUCCGUGCCAGCAGCCGCGGUAAUACGGAGGGUGCAAGCGUUAUCCGGAUUUACUGGGUUUAAAGGGUGUGUAGGCGGGCUAUUAAGUCAGGGGUGAAAUCCCGGGGCUCAACAUCGGAACUGCCUUUGAUACUAUUAGUCUUGAAUUAUGUUGAGGUUGGCGGAAUAUAACAUGUAGCGGUGAAAUGCAUAGAUAUGUUAUAGAACACCGAUUGCGAAGGCAGCUGGCUAAACAUAUAUUGACGCUGAGGCACGAAAGCGUGGGUAGCGAACAGGAUUAGAAACCCCAGUAGUCC
rnacentral:rRNA from 1 species